rnacentral:tRNA from 1 species
AUCCGUAUAGCUCAACUGGCCAGAGCACCGGUCUCCAAAACCGGGGGUUGGGGGUUCGAAUCCCUCUGCGGAUGCCA